UACGUAGGGGGCAAGCGUUAUCCGGAUUUACUGGGUGUAAAGGGAGCGUAGGCGGCCUGCUAAGUCUGGAGUGAAAGGUACCGGCUACAACCGGUGACAGGCUCUGGAAACUGGCGGGCUAGAGAGCAGGAGAGGGCGGUGGAACUCCAUGUGUAGCGGUAAAAUGCGUAGAUAUAUGGAAGAACACCAGUGGCGAAGGCG
rnacentral:rRNA from 1 species